CACAGACAACCAGGAUGUUGGCUUAGAAGCAGCCACUCAUUCAAAGAGUGCGUAAUAGCUCACUGGUCGAGUGAUCCUGCGCCGAAGAUUUCCGGGGCUAAAACUUACUACCGAAGCUACGGCAUCAGUAAUGAUGGGUAGGGGAGCUUCCCAUACGGGUUGAAGCAUGACCGUAAGGACAUGUGGACAGUAUGGGAGUGAGAAUGUUGGCAUGAGUAGCGAGAUGUGGGUGGGAAUCCCACAGGCCGUAAACCCAAGGUUUCCAGGGGAAGGUUCGUCCGCCCUGGGUUAGUCGGGACCUAAGCUGAGGCCGAAAGGCGUAGGUGAUGGACAACAGGUUGAUAUUCCUGUACUACCGAUAACCAUUUGAGAGAUGGGAUGACACAGUAGGAUAAGCUAAGCACACUGUUGGUUAUGUGUGCCCAAGCAUUGAGGCAGUCAAAGUAGGCAAAUCCGCUUUGAUAAUGCUGGGAUGUGAUGGGGAGCGAAAUUUAGUAGCGAAGUAGCUGAUUUCACACUGUCAAGAAAAGUCUCUAUCGAGGUUAAAGGUACCCGUACCGCAAACCGACACAGGUGGGUGAGGAGAGUAUCCUAAGGCCAGCGAGAGAACUGUUGUUAAGGAACUCGGCAAAAUGACCCCGUAACUUAGGGAUAAGGGGUGCCACCA
rnacentral:rRNA from 1 species